GCCUUUAGCAAUACAAGUAUUAAAGGUCCCGCCUGCCCAGUGAAGCUUUUUCAACGGCCGCGGUAUUCUAACCGUGCAAAGGUAGCGUAAUCACUUGUCUUCUAAAUAAAGACCAGUAUGAACGGCUAAAUGAGGACAAACCUGUCUCUUAUAACCAAUCAGUGAAACUGAUCUCCCAGUACAAAAGCUGGGAUUCAAACAUAAGACGAGAAGACCCCGUGGAGCUUAAAACUUAUACUAACCUAUAUGGACCCUAGUUUACUGUUUUGAGUUGGGGCGACUUCGGAAUAUAACAAAACUUCCGAGCACAGAAUCACCACUUCUAACCGAGGCUAACAAGCCAAAGUAUAAACUGACCCGGCCAUGCCGAUCAACGAACCAAGUUACCCCGGGGAUAACAGCGCUAUCUUCUUCAAGAGUCCCUAUCAACAAGAAGGUUUACGACCUCGAUGUUGGAUCAGGACACCCAAAUGGUGCAGCCGCUAUUAAAGGUUCGUUUGUUCAACGAUUAACAGUCCUACGUGAUCUGAGUUCAGACCGGAGAAAUCC
rnacentral:rRNA from 1 species